rnacentral:misc_RNA from 1 species
UUUCCGUAGGUGAACCUGCGGAAGGAUCAUUCAUAAUAAGUGUUUUAUGGCACUUUUUUAAAUCCAUACCCACCUUGUGUGCAAUGUCAGGGUUGAUUUUUCUCUCGAGAGGAUCAACCCCAAACAUCAACUAUAUCUCAACUCUUUGUCUGAAAAAUAUUAUGAAUAAAACAAUUCAAAAUACAACUUUCAACAACGGAUCUCUUGGCUCUC